rnacentral:rRNA from 1 species
AUUGAACGCUGGCGGCAGGCCUAACACAUGCAAGUCGAACGGUAACAGGAAGCAGCUUGCUGCUUUGCUGACGAGUGGCGGACGGGUGCGUAAUGUCUGGGAAACUGCCCGAUGGAGGGGGAUAACUACUGGAAACGGUAGCUAAUACCGCAUAACGUCGCAAGACCAAAGAGGGGGACCUUAGGGCCUCUUGCCAUCGGCUUUGCCCAGAUGGGAUUUGCUAGUAGGUGGGGUAACGGCUCACCUAGGCGACGAUCCCUAGCUGGUCUGAGAGGAUGACCAGCCACACUGGAACUGAGACACGGUCCAGACUCCUACGGGAGGCAGCAGUGGGGAAUAUUGCACAAUGGGCGCAAGCCUGAUGCAGCCAUGCCGCGUGUAUGAAGAAGGCCUUCGGGUUGUAAAGUACUUUCAGCGGGGAGGAAGGGAGUAAAGUUAAUACCUUUGCACAUUGACGUUACCCGCAGAAGAAGCACCGGCUAACUCCGUG